ACUCCUGCCGUGGUCUGCUCUGCUUCCCCAGACACAAUUCCUCCAUAGCUGCCUCUGCUAAAGCAACAAUGGACCCAAGCCCUGAGCACCUGAGGUAACCCCCAGGUUUUUUUAUCCCAGGUCCAGCUUCUUUGUGCUGCCCUUGCUCUGUCACAGGGUUCACGGGAGCCGCAGAGGGCAGGAGAGGUGAAGAGAUCUCCACACGGCUCAUGAGUACUUAGGCUUGAAUUAUGUCCUGCUCUCUUCUUCCAGACCUGUGGCUUUUUACCUGCAGUGACCUUCCCUGACUCGCUGUUUACCUUGAGAGAAAGGGAACAUUUGCUGCCUAGAGGAGCUCAGCUACAGCUUUUCAGUCAGCGAUGAAAACACUCCAAAGCUAAGAGCACCGUUUGAAUUUAAAAAUCGUAAUUACAGCGCCCAAGAGGCAGAAGUUGGAAGAGGGCAAUGAACAAAGCAGGGGGUUGGAAGAAAACAAAGAAAGGCAUGAGAGGAAUCUGCGCUUUGAACACAGAGUCCUGAAUAUCUUGCACUGGCUACUUCAGAUUGGGCACCCAAAAUUAAUAGAUUCUUUGACCUUCGUUUCUUUGUGCUCUGGUUCUUUGUUUGUAAAGCAGAAACCACAAUAGAGCCUCACCAAGGGAAAAAAAAAAAGAAAAGAAGAUGUCAUCAAUGUCAUCAGAGCAAUUGCUCCAGCCAAAGCACUCUGAUGCUGCAGAAAUGAAGAUGAAGAAGGAAAAAAUCCACCCUAACCCCGAGUGGCUUUUCAGCAAUGCUACCAACAGCAAGAGAAUUGCUUGCAGCAGUGUCACUCAGAGGAAUUUUGUUAGUCAAGCUUGAACAACAUGUACAAGGCUUUAACAAGGAAUGAAGGACCUUCAUCCUGCUUGUGCUGCUGUCUUCUAUUAACACGUUCUGUCUGCUGAGCUCUGCCCACAGCAAGACUACAUCCAGACACACCAGCAAGGGCAGCACUGCUGCAAAACUCCCUCUUGUGACAGCAGAACACGUAAGAUGUUACCAAAUCUUCAUUUCAGCAGCAGCAGCAACAAGACCAGCAUGUGACAGAAGCUGCACAUCAGUGCCUAAAGGCUGAAUAUUCAUCCCAAAGGUCCUGCAGAGAGCCUGGAAAUCUGCCCACCUGUCAGCUAGCUCUGGCUGAGGUGGGAUUUGCAAAUUUGGGGGAAAGUGUGUCUCCAAACCUAACGUUAAGGACCGAGUUGAUUAUGGGCUAUUCAGACCUGGCACUUAGCACCUGGAGCCAGCACAGCUUCUAAGAAGUCUGACAGAGGGCUGUUUCCUGGAAAUCUGCUAGUGAAGUGUGUUCUAGACAAUUUACUCCCUUUCAAACAGAUUUUUUCCUUUCCUUUUUUCAAAACCUCUCUGCAGCCCCUCAUCUCAGCUGGCAGAACAAACAUCAGACCCGAAGCACAUCUGCAGAGCAAGUCUGGAGUGUUUGCACAGCCCUGCUCCAAGUGACAUCUUCUGGGAAGCACUCAGGUCCAUCACAGCCUCUCAGAAGGGAACAAACCACCCUGGGCAGUGGCACAGAAGGCACCACAAAGUGUCUGCAAGGCAGAGGGAAGCACAAAGACACCGUGUGCCCCAUCUGGUGCAGAACAACAGUUCUGAGGAAAACAACCCAUCAGAGCAGGCUGAGCCUCUGCAAGCAGGCAGUUCCUGCAGUUACUGGAAGAGCUGUCACCACGCCAGGCCACAUCACCACUGGAUUUAUUGUGCAGCUUUUCUGUCCAGAAAGUGCCUGUGUGGAGCAGAGCAGGCAGGAAGCAGCAGGACAGAGCUGUGCCCGUGUCCCCGGGCUCUGCCCCAAGCAUGCAGCUGCCUGGGAAUCUUCCACACAAAACACUAAUGGGUAAAAUAAAGCUGCUUUGAAGUGCAGGCAGAACCAAACUCUUUUUCCUUCAGCCAUGCAGAAGUCCAGAAUUUUGUCUUGCUGCAGUGUUUUCAAGAAGAAUGAAGCAUCUGCAUUUUUUUCCCUCCUGCAGCUUAUUACACCUGGGUAUGCUCCAUCCCUGCCUCUGGAAACCUGUGAAAGCUGAUUUUAGUUGACUAGAACCACAGAACCACUGAGGUUGGAGAAGACCUCCAAGAUUAUUGAGUCCAACCUUUGAUUUAAUACCACCACAUGCUCAUUGAACCCUACAAUGAAGUGCCAGGUCCACUUGUUUUUUGAACACUUCCAGGGAUGGUGACUCCACCACUGCCUUCAGCCUGUUUCAAUGCUUAACCACUCUUUCAGUGAAGAAAUUUUUCCUAAUGCCCAACUUGAACCUCUUCUGGUGAAACUUGAGGCUGUUUGCCAUUGUCCUGUCACUCGUUACCUGGGAGAAGAGGCUGACUCCCACCUCACCAGCACCUUCUCUCAGCGAAAUGCUGGUCUUCAGGUAAAUAAGGUCUCCCCUGAGUCUCCUUUUCAACCCUCAGCCAGUCCUUGUAGAACUGACAUUCCAGACCCUAAACCACCAUGCAAGAUGAACCCAUCUGUCGAGUCCUGAGGACAAGCAAAUAUUCUCCAUCUCCUCUUCAGGGGGCAGAAAACCACAUAAAAAAAAUAAUUACACCUGUUCCUCAAGUUUCACCGAGCAGCUGACAUGCAGCUCUGUCUUCAUUUACCCCAAGGACAAGAAACCAACCAGCUCAGACCAGGAAUCCAGCUCCUGGAGAAGGAAAAUCAAGCCAGUGUGGACAGUUCUCAGGAGGGUAUCUGUCAGCAGCACAGCUAACACACUCCUCUCCAAGAAAAUCUUCAUGGGAAAAGCCCAAGAAACCUGAGAUCCAUCUGUGAAACAAGGAAAGCAUGGACAAUUCACAACUGUCUCCCCUGGACAAUGAUAAUUCCUGCUGCAGCAUCUUUUCCAUGCAGUUGCAUCCAUGACAUCCACGAUUUGAAGCUGAGGUCCAGCUGCGUGACUCUGCCUUUACCACCAGCACUGGGAUGGUUGCAGAGCACAGCUUCUCCAUGUGGCUAUCCCAGAGAGCAAAUUCUGCCAUUUAGUAUCAUUUGCACUUUUGAAGAAAGCAUCUUUCAAAACUUGUAAUAACUCUGCAUGUUCCUAGAACAGGCUAAUGAGAAACACGCUGCACCAGGGCUGUAAACUGUCAUUUCUAAAUUGGAAAACCAAAUGAACUGCAGAUAGAGAGCUAUUGUGCUGCUCCAAGAGGCCUCCUUCUAAUUAGAUGCUCGAAGUUUUAAAACAUUUUCAAAUCUUGGACUGCUCCAUCCUUCCCAGAUUUAAUGAUCGAAGAGUUGAGGGCAAUUUUCUUGUUGAACUGGGAAGAAGCAAAACAGAGCAGUUAGUGUCUUCACAUUUACAAGGAAGAACCUGGAAAACAGGAAAGAACAAACCCAGAGUUCAAUGACUUAGAUAAAAAACUGUAGAUGGAAGGACAUCUGAUUACACUUUGGUUUCUGCAGUUACAAAUUAAGUGUUCUGUAAUCCUCCAGAGAAAAUUAUGGGAAUGACAUGUCAGUGACUUUAAGCUCUAAUCUUACAAGCUUCAUAAUUCAUGUUUUUAUUUGACAUUGAUGGGAUCACUUGAAUGAGCAAAGUUUUGUCUGCAAUUAAAGCACUGCAAGAAUGGAGUUUACAAAGGCUUUGUUUUGCUGCUGAAUAAUUCUAGUGAUUUACAGGUGGUUUAGCUGCAGUUAAACACUUACUGGGGAACCCUCUCUCUUCUAAUGAUGAAGAGCAGAAUUCCUGCACUUGGAAUGACAUGAGGACUGUCUGUGACUCCAAGUGUCAACUGUGGGAACUUUAUCCCAUUCAUCAGGGAUAAUCACACAGAGCAUGCACUGGGUGCAACUUGGAAAGACUUCCAUGGUGGACUAAUGAUUCUGUACAGGAAAUUCAUUAAAAAAUAAGUCCCACUGCUUCCUUUCCAUGCCCUGCCAUAACAGGAGCCGUGUAAAUGGAUUUUGUCAGAGCUGCACUCACGACAGCUUUACAAUCCAUCUGAAAGGCAGAGCCAGAAUCUGCAGACAAUGGACUGUGAGAACAUCACAUCUGACAAACUGCUCAACUUACUGCAACUUUUUAAAUACUUUUUUAAAAAAAUGUAAUAAUAAAAUGUGGAGCUGAGGGAGGAUGACAGAGUGACAAGUCUGCAGAAAGGCUCUGUCUGUACCAUGGGAAGGGACUGUGUGAACUUCCUACUUAAUGUCUGGCCAUGGAUCUCAUUUAUGAGCUGCUGCAGACACCCCAUGGCAUGAUGGAGAUGGAGGAACCACUGAGAAAUUAUCUGUCAACUGAAAAACCAAUUAAUACUAACUGCAAUGAGAAAGAACUGUCUACCCAGACAGACACUGGGAUUGUGAAGUCAGUUACAGAUGUCUUUAAGGGAUUUUUUUUUUUUUGGUCAUUUUCAACUUGAACUUAAGCCAUAGCUAUUGGGGAAAAGCUGCUUCAUCUUUUCUUUUUCUGCACCAUCAAUCCCCCAGCGUUUUCACCACCAGCUUAAUGAAUUCCAACUAUCAAGAGAGCUCAUCCGCUCUGUAAUUUGUCUUUUUUUGUUCCCUUCACUAAACAAGCAGGAAAAAUGUUUUUAAUUUGCAAUGCUGAAUAAAUACCUACUGUGUUUGCCAAGACUUUAUUGACAUUCAUGGCUGUCCACAAAGCUGACUGACUUCUCACAGAGAUGGUUUAUCUCCUCAAGUAAAAAAAAAUAAA